rnacentral:rRNA from 1 species
UGAUCGGAUUCUUUUAACAUGCAAGUCGACGGUGUCUUCGGACUUAGUGGCGGACGGGUGAGUAACGCGUGAGAAUCUAGCUUCAGGUCUGGGACAACCACUGGAAACGGUGGCUAAUACUGGAUGUGCCGAAAGGUGAAAGGCUUGCUGCCUGAAGAUGAGCUCGCGUCUGAUUAGCUAGUUGGUGGGGUAAGAGCCUACCAAGGCGACGAUCAGUAGCUGGUCUGAGAGGAUGAUCAGCCACACUGGGACUGAGACACGGCCCAGACUCCUACGGGAGGCAGCAGUGGGGAAUUUUCCGCAAUGGGCGAAAGCCUGACGGAGCAAUACCGCGUGAGGGAGGAAGGCUCUUGGGUUGUAAACCUCUUUUCUCAUGGAAGAACACAAUGACGGUACCUGAGGAAUCAGCAUCGGCUAACUCCGUGCCAGCAGCCGCGGUAAUACGGAGGAUGCAAGCGUUAUCCGGAAUGAUUGGGCGUAAAGCGUCCGCAGGUGGCCUUGUAAGUCUGCUGUCAAAGAGCGAAGCUCAACUUCGUAAAGGCAGUGGAAACUACACGGCUAGAGUGCGUUCGGGGCAGAGGGAAUUCCUGGUGUAGCGGUGAAAUGCGUAUAAAAAAAAUCGGCGCGGC